rnacentral:miRNA from 1 species
UCGGGGUAUUCCACAAAAAAUUACCCUGCGGGAUGAAAUAUUCCUCGGGCUUUGCCCUCGGAAUAUUUCAUCCCUCAGGGUAAUUUUUUGUGGAAUACCCCU